AUCCAGAUGACGAAUCCAAAAUAGGACGAAACGCGUGUCCUGAAU
rnacentral:hammerhead_ribozyme from 1 species